UCUCAAGCUUUUCUUAUCUGCGCUUUUGUGUACUUCUUUAUUUCUUUUCUUGUUGAGUAUAAUCUUGAUUCGCAUGCUCUUAUAAAAAAUAAAAUAAAUAAAUAAAUCUUGAUUCUCAUGCAAUGCCGAUUGAAUGCUUCAGCCAAGUUUUGAUUCUUGUUUUUUCUAAAUUUUUGUACUUCCUGUUGUUUCUUUCAUUGAUUUUUUGCCUCCUUUGAUAAUGGGUUGUUCGAUUUCGAUGCCAAUCUUCCAAGUUUUUUAUAGUAAUUUUGAUUCUUACAUAUGAGUUGUUUUGUUCUAACCAAGGUAAACAGAACAUUUAUUCUUCCCUCUCCCUUUCUCUCUCUCAUGCUGUUUGAACUCUAUAGUCUGUACCGUUGGUCACAAAGUCUGAAUCUGCAAUGGUGUUUCCAUACAUGGAAGCUAUUGUGGUUUUGAGUGGUAGCAGUGCUUAAGCGCUUGAAAGGCCCCCCCUCCCUCAUUGCCUCUUCAUCUCCUUCUUCCUCUCUUGCUCCCACCUGAAGUUCCAAACCCAGUAUGCACCCCAGGAUUUGGCUCUUCUAUGGCGCGGGGUUGCGCCACACAUCGUCUGGCAUGGCCCAUUCUCUGUCUUCUCCCCCGCCACCAUUGCCGACCUCCGCGCCGCCUGUGUCCGUGAAAUGGGGAAAGGAACAGGAAGCUUUGGUAAGAAGAGGAACAAGACUCACACGCCCUGUGAGGUGUGGAUGCCGCAGCUUUCAUCUUCAGAAGAGCAGAUGCGCUGAUCAAGAUACGUAACUAAGCCUUCCCCUGUUUACAUCAACAACUGUUAUGGGUUUUCUUUUGAUUUGGGUUUUUUUUUUUUUUUUUCUCUUAACCUCUUGAUGUGAUUUCAGAUAACUGGAGCGUGAAGGCCAUUAGGAGGAAGACGAUCGGAAUUGGUCAGAUGAGGUAUUCAAGCAGCUCCAAGGAGGAAGGGGGAGCCGCAGCCGGUUUUAAAAUAUCGAUAUACAUUUUCUCGACAAAUUUGUCUUUGCGGCAACAUGCUGCUCUCAAGUUUUUAACACUUCCCAAACCUUUAGAAGGAGUUAUCAGACGGGAAGAAUUUGAGAAGUCUCGAGCCUCUAAUCUUGAUAAAUGGCAAGGAGAUCAAUCCAUUCUUCAGUCCACCUCAGAAUAAAAAUCGUCCCGAUAUAGAGAGUCGUCUUGGGAGAGAGCUUCCUGUAUCCGACUUCCCUUGUGAUGACCAUAGCUUUCUCAAGCUUUUUCUAUAUGGAUUUCAGAGUAUAAGAUACGUUUUUGCUCCUGCUGGAUUCCUUGAUUAUCCUCAUAGAGGUUUGAGAUUCCACUCAUUGGUGUCAAUACAAGUGGAGAGGCACAUAUAGGGAGUAUCAUGAGAAUGUUACCUGAGAAGGAGAAGAACAUCAUCGAAGCUCUCCACAACUACCUCUUCAAGUCAGAGAUCAAAGCUUAUAUUGCCGAGCCCGAACAAGUGUUGUGGAUUAAUCUUGCAGAAUUGGAGUUGUUACUAAUGUCAUCUUGGAGCUUGGUUUGGGAUACAAAUCUAUCAUGUAUGGUAUUGCAGUCGCUACUCUAAAAAAGUUAGUAUAAUUGUCGGAUAUUGCCACUUCAAAAUAUUAUAGCAUUCUAUGUUGGCUACUUUUACUUAAUGUUAGAUUAAAACAAUACUUUGAAGGCAAUUCUAGACCUAUCUAUAUUUUUAAUAAAUAUGUAAACUAAUGAAAUUAUUAUUGAUUAAAAUAACGUUAUUUUAUCUAUCAAA